rnacentral:rRNA from 1 species
UACGUAGGUGGCAAGCGUUGUCCGGAAUUAUUGGGCGUAAAGCGCGCGCAGGCGGUCUCUUAAGUCUGAUGUGAAAGCCCACGGCUCAACCGUGGAGGGUCAUUGGAAACUGGGAGACUUGAGUACAGAAGAGGAGAGUGGAAUUCCACGUGUAGCGGUGAAAUGCGUAGAUAUGUGGAGGAACACCAGUGGCGAAGGCGACUCUCUGGUCUGUAACUGACGCUGAGGCGCGAAAGCGUGGGGAGCAAACAGGAUUAGA